AGUGAACGCUGGCGGUAGGCCUAACACAUGCAAGUCGAACGGCAGCACAGUAAGAGCUUGCUCUUACGGGUGGCGAGUGGCGGACGGGUGAGGAAUACAUCGGAAUCUACUUUUUCGUGGGGGAUAACGUAGGGAAACUUACGCUAAUACCGCAUACGACCUACGGGUGAAAGCAGGGGAUCUUCGGACCUUGCGCGAUUGAAUGAGCCGAUGUCGGAUUAGCUAGUUGGCGGGGUAAAGGCCCACCAAGGCGACGAUCCGUAGCUGGUCUGAGAGGAUGAUCAGCCACACUGGAAAUGAGACACGGUCCAGACUCCCAAGGGAGGCAGCAGGGGGGAAUAUUUGACAAUGGGCGGAAGCCUGAUCCAGCCAUACCGCGUGGGUGAAGAAGGCCUUCGGGUUGUAAAGCCCUUUUUUUUGGAAAGAAAAGCAGCAGGUUAAUACCCCGCUGUUCUGACGGUACCCAAAGAAUAAGCAACGGCUAACUUCGUG
rnacentral:rRNA from 1 species